rnacentral:tRNA from 1 species
GGAAUAUAGUUUAAAAAAAAUUUUUAAAUUGCAUUUAAAAGAUAUUAAUUGGUUUAUUAUUCUUA